UGGCAAGUGGUGACCUCACCAAGGAUGUAGAGCUAAAGGGCGUGUUCUUAGCCAUUGAUUAGAGUGAGAGGCUACAGAGGCUAUUGAUGUCUAUUGGUUGAAAUUUAAGUUUGUUCAGAGGCUUCCAUUGUGGUUGAAGAGCAUCAAAGCAUGCCUGCCCUAUUGUCGGUUGGUCUCAUCUUCUGUUUUAUGGUUGUGAUUUGUUGAGGAGAUGCUGCAGCUACUUUCAGUCCCAGUUGAUGUAUAGUUUUGCCUGUUUGGCCAUAUAAGGCUAUGUGGCUGCAUGGAAGGUUGUAUUGUUAUAAACAUUUUUAGCAUGGAAAACGGCAUUCAUGUGCAUUUGUAGUCUGUUUUGAGAACAUUAAAUAGACCGUUAACUGUUUUAUU